rnacentral:rRNA from 1 species
CUUCGUAGUGACCUGCGGAGGAUCAUAGUAAUGUCUUUGACGUACUGUUCCGUCCUCGGGACGUUAAGGCGCUCUGGUCGAGGAUAAACGACCCCUCUGACCGAGGUAAAGCGGUCGUUGUGUUACCUCUCGAGGCACACGUUAAAGAUCGUUCCGCGUUGUGAGUCUAAACCAGUUGUAACUUUUUACAACCGGUAGCGCUGGAUCCCUUGGCACGUCAUUCGAUGAAGACCGUUGCAAAUUGCGAUAAAGUGAUGUGAUGCGCAAGUCCACCACUUAUACGUGAAUCAUCGAGUUGUUGAACGCAUUGCACCGCGCCCUAAUCCGGCUGCGGUAUGCCCCUUUGAGCGUCAUUGUAUCCCUUCGGGAGCCUUUUCGUUAAGGCCCGAGUUCGGAGUCCUCGGUCUUUGGAUCGUGUUCUCUUAGAUGCGUCGCGCCGAUCGCCUGAUGGGUCGCUCCAAUGCCUAAGCGUGGAGUCCCUCGGAGCUGAGACGCGCUUGACCGGGUGUUGAGCUCGCGUCGCCAAGUCCGCACGUCUCUGACGUCGGUACUACAACGCAUGACCUCAUUGGGGUAGGACAACCCGCUAGACUUAAGCAUAUCAAUAAGCGGAGGAA